CAAUAGCGUAUAUUAAAGUUGUUGCGGUUAAAAAGCUCGUAGUUGGAUUUCUGCCGAGGACGACCGGUCCGCCCUGUGGGUGAGCAUCUGGAUCGGCCUGGGCAUCUUCUUGGGGAACGUAGCUGCACUUGACUGUGUGGUGCGGUAUCCAGGACUUUUACCUUGAGAAAAUUAGAGUGUUUCAGGCAGGCUUGUGCCCGGAUACAUUAGCAUGGAAUAAUAGAAUAGGACUUUAGCCUCUUCUGUUGGUCUGAGGGGUUGAAGUAAUGAUUAAUAGGGAUAGUUGGGGGCAUUAGUACUUAACUGUCAGAGGUGAAAUUCUCGGAUUUGUUAAAGACUAACUUAUGCGAAAGCAUUUGCCAAGGAUGUUUUCAUUAAUCAAGAACGAAAGUUAGGGGAUCAAAGAUGAUCAGAUACCAU
rnacentral:rRNA from 1 species